rnacentral:rRNA from 1 species
GAUGAACGCUGGCGGCGUGCCUAAUACAUGCAAGUCGAGCGAACGGACGAGAAGCUUGCUUCUCUGAUGUUAGCGGCGGACGGGUGAGUAAAACGUGGAUAACCUACCUAUAAAACUGGGAUAACUUCGGGAAACCGGAGCUAAUACCGGAUAAUAUUUUGAACCGCAUGGUUCAAAAAUGAAAGACGGUCUUGCUGUCACUUAUAGAUGGACCCGCGCUGCAUUAGCUAGUUGGUAAGGUAACGGCUUACCAAGGCAACGAUGCAUAGCCGACCUGAGAGGGGGAUCGCCCACCCUGGAAAGGAACACCGUUCCAGACCCCAAGGGGGGGCAGAAGUGGGGAAUCUCCCGAAAGGGGCGAAAGCCUGACGGGGCAACGCCGGGGGAGUGAAGAAGGUCUUCGGAUCGUAAAACGCUUUUAUUAGGGAAGAAAAAAUGUGUAAGUAACGGUCCAAAUCUUGACGGUACCAAAGCAGAAAGCCACGGCUAACUACGU